AUUGAACGCUGGCGGCAGGCCUAACACAUGCAAGUCGAACGAGUGGCGGACGGGUGAGUAAUGUCUGGGAAUCUGCCUGAUGGAGGGGGAUAACUACUGGAAACGGUAGCUAAUACCGCAUACCAUCGGAUGAGCCCAGAUGGGAUUAGCUAGUUGGUGGGGGAAAGGCUCACCAAGGCGACGAUCCCUAGCUGGUCUGAGAGGAUGACCAGCCACACUGGAACUGAGACACGGUCCAGACUCCUACGGGAGGCAGCAGUGGGGAAUAGGGCGCAAUGGGCGCAAGCCUGAUGCAGCCAUGCCGCGUGUAUGAAGAAGGCCUUCGGGUUGUAAAGUACUUUCAGCGGGGAGGCGUUACCCACAGAAGAAGCACCGGCUAACUCCGUGCCAGCAGCCGCGUUAAUUC
rnacentral:rRNA from 1 species